AUACGUAGGGGGCGAGCGUUGUCCGGAAUGAUUGGGCGUAAAGGGCGCGUAGGCGGCCCGGUAAGUCUGGAGUGAAAGUCCUGUUUUCAAGAUGGGAAUUGCUUUGGAUACUGAUGGGCUUGAGUGCAGGAGAGGUUAUCGGAAUUCCCGGUGUAGCGGUGAAAUGCGUAGAGAUCGGGAGGAACACCAGUGGCGAAGGCGGGUAACUGGACUGCAACUGACGCUGAGGCGCGAAAGUGUGGGGAGCAAACAGGAUUAGAUACCCUGGUAGUCCACACUGUAAACGAUGAAUGCUAGGUGUAAGAGGUAUCGACCCCUUUUGUGCCGGAGUUAACACAAUAAGCAUUCCGCCUGGGGAGUACGGCCGCAAGGUUGAAACUCAAAUGAAUUGGCGGGG
rnacentral:rRNA from 1 species